rnacentral:rRNA from 1 species
GAUGAGCGCUGGCGGCGUGCCUAAUACAUGCAAGUCGAGCGAACAGACGAGGAGCUUGCUCCUCUGACGUUAGCAGCGGACGGGUGAGUAACACGUGGAUAACCUACCUAUAAGACUGGGAUAACUUCGGGAAACCGGAGCUAAUACCGGAUAAUAUAUUGAACCGCAUGGUUCAAUAGUGAAAGACGGUUUUGCUGUCACUUAUAGAUGGAUCCGCGCCGCAUUAGCUAGUUGGUAAGGUAACGGCUUACCAAGGCGACGAUGCGUAGCCGACCUGAGAGGGUGAUCGGCCACACUGGAACUGAGACACGGUCCAGACUCCUACGGGAGGCAGCAGUAGGGAAUCUUCCGCAAUGGGCGAAAGCCUGACGGAGCAACGCCGCGUGAGUGAUGAAGGUCUUCGGAUCGUAAAACUCUGUUAUUAGGGAAGAACAAAUGUGUAAGUAACUAUGCACGUCUUGACGGUACCUAAGCAGAAAGCCACGGCUAACUACGC